GACGAACGCUGGCGGCGUGCUUAACACAUGCAAGUCGAACGGAAAGGCCCUGCUUUUGUGGGGUGCUCGAGUGGCGAACGGGUGAGUAACACGUGAGUAACCUGCCCUUGACUUUGGGAUAACUUCAGGAAACUGGGGCUAAUACCGGAUAGGAGCUCCUGCUGCAUGGUGGGGGUUGGAAAGUUUCGGCGGUUGGGGAUGGACUCGCGGCUUAUCAGCUUGUUGGUGGGGUAGUGGCUUACCAAGGCUUUGACGGGUAGCCGGCCUGAGAGGGUGACCGGCCACAUUGGGACUGAGAUACGGCCCAGACUCCUACGGGAGGCAGCAGUGGGGAAUAUUGCAAAAUGGGCGGAAGCCUGAUGCAGCAACGCCGCGUGCGGGAUGACGGCCUUCGGGUUGCAAACCGCUUUCGCCUGUGACGAAGCGUGAGUGGCGGUAAUGGGUAAAGAAGCACCGGCUAACUACGUG
rnacentral:rRNA from 1 species